CUGCACACCAAAAAGUGAAAUGUUAGGUCAAUACCAAGAUCACUUAAUUUCCAUUAGGUCCACGCCAAAUUCACCGAAUUGAAAUUUUUAACCUUUUUUUCUACAAAUACACUUCUAUCUACAGACGUUAAUUGUUUGAAAAUUGCAUUGUUGGAAGCUAUUUACUUAUGCAGACUGCGAGAAAAUCAUAUUAGAGCUGCUCGGCAACUAUAUUAACAUAUGGAUCAUACAACCUUGCUGUAAGCUGUUCAUAAUGUAGAAAAUGAUAUUGAUGCUCUGUGUGCGGGCCAUUGGUUUGCUUAUUUAACAGAGGUGGGAUAAAUUUGUAGAUUCAUACAAUGUCAUGUGCUUUUUCAAUGGUGACAAAUUAUUGGAUUCAGGGUCAUGCUCUUUACCAAACCGGUUCUUUUCCUUGAAGAAAAACUCAAGAUUAGAAAUUAAAUAAAGUUUGAGCUCGGUCAAGUUUCAUGUUUCUUCCUCAACUAGUAUUUAGUUCAAUAGUAAUAUGUUUUGAGCACUAGCACCAUAUUUUG